UACGAAGGGGGCUAGCGUUGUUCGGAAUCACUGGGCGUAAAGCGCACGUAGGCGGAUCUUUAAGUCAGGGGUGAAAUCCCGAGGCUCAACCUCGGAACUGCCUUUGAUACUGGGGAUCUCGAGUCCGGGAGAGGUGAGUGGAACUGCGAGUGUAGAGGUGAAAUUCGUAGAUAUUCGCAAGAACACCAGUGGCGAAGGCGGCUCACUGGCCCGGAACUGACGCUGAGAUACGAAAGCGUGGGGAGCAAACAGG
rnacentral:rRNA from 1 species